GAUUAUAUACACAGUAUCUUACGUAGGAUAUGGGCAAUUCCCACGAGCACUAUCUUCUGAAUUUCUGCCAUUUUGGGGUUUCCUGGUAUCUGAGCUAAGUAGCAAUCAACC